AGAGUUCCUGUGGCUUAUUUGUUGAGGAGGAAAGAAAGGUGGGCCUGGCCUACUGAUGUAUCUGCAUGGUAUACUGGCACCAGGCAGGAGUGGAUGGCUGUUUCACUAUAGUUGACUUAAGAGAGACUCCAAAAGACAGUGGUGAAAGUGCAUAUCAUGCCAGUAGGCAGAACUUCAGGUGGUAGUGUAAUCAAAUUAAUGCCAGCUUCUAAUGGGAGUUUAGUCACCUGGAUUGAAGAUAAGAAAUUUCAAACAGGAUGAAGGAAAAGAAUGAGUGCUGAAGGGCAAAAGCGAAGUUCUCUGGGUUCCCAAGUAACUCUUCUGAGAUCAUGACCUGCUCAAGUUACAAAAGAUUUUGGUUUCCUACACCGCAACAACCAAAAGGGCUACUCAAAUAUGACUAUUGGCCAUGUUCUCCCUUGUGUUGAUGACUGCACAGAUUCUCAUUUUCUUUGUCAUCCAUUUUCUUCUAAUUCAUGAAUCAACUUUGGCUAAAGGAUACCUCAGAAGCCAAGCAGGUGUCAUCAAAAGACACUUUUGUGGCAGACAGAAUGUCAUUGAAGGGAGCAACUUUCACUGUGUUGGAGAAGAGCAACCUGUUUCAAGGCUCAUAGGCAGAAGGGACUUGCCUUGUCUUGGAUGAGACUUGAGACUGUGGACUUUUGAGUUAAUGCUGAAGACGGGACUUGCUCCUCUCUGCCUUCUGCCAUGAUUGUGAGGCCUUCCCAGCCAAGUAGAACUGUAAGUCCAGUUAAAUCUCUUUCUUUUGUAAAUUGCCCAGUCUUGGUUAUGCCUUUAUCAGCAGUGUGAAAACGGACUAAUACAUAUGCAAACUAUGGCCCAAGGACCUGCCAUCUGUUUUGUAAAUAUAGCUUUAUAGGAACACAACCAAAACCAUGAGUUUAAUUAUUGUCUAUGGCCACUCUUACAUUACAGCAGCAGAGUUGAGCACUUGAGACAGAGACAAAAUGACCCACAAAGUCUAAAAUAUUCACUCUCUGGUCCUUUAUUUAAAAAGUUUGCUGACCUCUGCAUUGGAGCCUCAGCUUCCUUAUCUGUAAAAUAGGAAUGAUAGUGCCCUCUGUGCAGGAUUAUUGUCAGGAUACUUACUAUGUUUAUAUGUAUGAAUAUCUUUAGGCUAGGUGUGGUGGCACACGCCUAUAAUCCCAGCACUCUGGGAGGCCAAGGUGGGCGGAUCAUGUGAGGCCAAGAAUUUGAGACCAGCCUGGCCAACAUGGCAAAACCCCGUCUCUACUAAAGAUAAAAAAAAUUAGCCAGGUGUGGUGCUGGGCCCCUGUAAUCCCACCUACUCGAGAGGCUAAGGCAUGAGAAUCACUUGAACCCGUGAGGCCAAGUUUGCAGUGAGUUAAGAUCGCACCACUGCACUCCAGCCUGACUUAAAAAGCAAGACUACAUCUC